CAAUAACCGGUUUAGUAUUCCAAAACUGUUUAAAAAACGAACAACCUGUACUGGACGCGCAACCAUCCUGAUCGAUACUUAAAGCGCUGGCAUGUCAUACAUCCCCCAAGUGACCUGCCGGUAGAGGCGCCAAAGGACCGUGUGCCUUUGUUUUACUCCUAAUGGUCUUAACCCGGCUUCACCCCCCAGAAUCCGG
rnacentral:sRNA from 2 species